GCCAUCGGCCAUACCACGUUGAAAACAGCGGUUCUCGUCCGAUCACGGAAGUUAAGCAACAUCGGGCAUAGUUAGUACUUAGAUGGGAGACUACUUGGGAACAUUACGUGCUGUUGGCU
rnacentral:rRNA from 1 species